CAGCCGCCGCGGGAAUACGUAGGGUGCGAGCGUUAAUCGGAAUUACUGGGCGUAAAGCGUGCGCAGGCGGUUCGUUAAGACAGAUGUGAAAUCCCCGGGCUUAACCUGGGAACUGCAUUUGUGACUGACGGGCUAGAGUAUGGCAGAGGGGGGUAGAAUUCCACGUGUAGCAGUGAAAUGCGUAGAGAUGUGGAGGAAUACCGAUGGCGAAGGCAGCCCCCUGGGCCAAUACUGACGCUCAUGCACGAAAGCGUGGGGAGCAAACAGGAUUAGAUACCCCCGUAGUCCCUGUCUCUUAUAC
rnacentral:rRNA from 1 species